rnacentral:tRNA from 1 species
GGGGAUUUAGCUCAGUGGUAGAGCGCUUGCCUACGGAGCGCAAGGCCCUGGGUUCGGUCCCCAGCUCCG